AUUGAACGCUGGCGGCAGGUUUAACACAUGCAAGUCGAGCGGUAACAGAGAGAAGCUUGCUUCUCUGCUGACGAGCGGCGGACGGGUGAGUAAUGCCUAGGAAUCUGCCUAGUAGUGGGGGAUAACUUGCCGACAGGUAAGCUAAUACCGCAUACGUCCUACGGGAGAAAGGAGGGGACCUUCGGGCCUUUCGCUAUUAGAUGAGCCCAGGUCGGAUUAGUUAGUUGGUGAGGUAAUGGCUCACCAAGACCGCGAUCCGUAACUGGUCUGAGGGGAUGAUCAGUCACACUGGAACUGAGACACGGUCCAGACUCCUACGGGAGGCAGCAGUGGGGAAUAUUGGACAAUGGGGGGAACCCUGAUCCAGCCAUGCCGCGUGUGUGAAGAAGGUCUUAGGAUUGUAAAGCACUUUAAGUUGGGAGGAAGAGCAGUUAACUAAUAUUUGACUGUUUUGACGUUACCGACAGAAUAAGCACCAGCUAACUUCGUGCCAGCCGCCGCCGUAA
rnacentral:rRNA from 1 species